UUUUUUUUUUUUUUUUGCAAUUCCUUUCACUCAUGACAUCUGCUAGAUGACAGGAAAGUAACAUAGCUUGCCCAGAAUCCAGUGGAAAUACAUGUGUGGGAACAAAAGGUUUAAAAGUGACUGAAAAAAAAAUAAAUAAAUAAAAGUGACUGAAAAAGGUCUCUCUCUGUCUAUCAUAAAUAAAUAAAUAAAUAUUAAAAAAAAAAAAAAAGGGAUCCCUGGGUGGCUCAGCAGUUUGACGCCUGCCUUUGGCCCAGGGUAUGAUCCUGGAGUCCUGGGAUCGAGUCCUGCGUUGGGCUCCUGGCAUGGAGCCUGCUUCUCCCUCUGCCUGUGUCUCUGCCUCUCUCUCUAUCAUAAAUAAAUAAAUAAAUCUUUAAAAAAAGUGACUGAAAAAGGAAAAACUGAAUUAAUUUUAAUUUGAAAAUAUAUAAUUAAUACAACAUUUUUAAAAAGAUUUAAAAUGAACUAACCCCUCACCCUCGCAAUUAAAAAAAAAAAAUGGGACUAGGGGUGCAUGGCUGACUUAGUUGGUGGAGCAUGCAGUUCUUGAUUUUGGGUUGUGAGUUCAAGCCCCAUACUGGAUGUAGAGUUUAGCUAAAAAUCUUUAAAAAAAAAUAAAAAUACAUAAGCUAAAAUUAAAACUUAAAAAAAAAAAAAAAGUAAAGAGUUGUCACUAAUCCAUCCCACACUAUUUUCAUACUUUCUAAGGAAGAUGGAUUCUGGAUGAGAUAUUUUGUUUUGCUAAGGGAAGAGGGGUGGUUAUGGAUUUAGAGAAAUCACAAAGGAGCCCAGAGAAAUGGGACAUAAUGAGGGAUGAGGGAGAAGGAGAGGAAAGGAAGGGAAGUAAAGAGGAGGGAGUAGAGGAGAGGGCAAGAGAGAGAAGACAGAGGACAACAAGCAAAAGAGAAAGACUGUUCAAAGGUACAUUGUGGUUUUGGCUGCAUGAUCUGCAAUUUUGUCCUUUUUACCAUUUCUAUGUGGAAGCUUUUCUAGUCUGCAU
rnacentral:lncRNA from 1 species